rnacentral:rRNA from 1 species
UACGGAGGGUGCUAGCGUUGUUCGGAAUCACUGGGCGUAAAGCGCGUGUAGGCGGCCCGUUAAGUCUGAUGUGAAAGCCCGGGGCUCACCCCCGGAAGUGCAUUGGAAACUGACAGGCUCGAGUCCCGGAGAGGAGGGUGGAAUUCCUGGUGUAGCGGUGAAAUGCGUAGAUAUCAGGAGGAACACCGGUGGCGAAGGCGGCCCUCUGGACGGUGACUGACGCUGAGACGCGAAAGCGUGGGGAGCAAACAGG